rnacentral:misc_RNA from 1 species
AAGACUAUAGACCUGCGGAGUACCUGCGGAAGGAUCAUUACCGAGUUAGGGUUCCUCUCACGGGCCCGACCUCCCAACCCUGUGUCUAUCACGCCUUGUCGUUGCUUCGGCGGACCGGUUUGACUCCGGUCGCGACCGCCGGGGGUGCUUCACCCCGGGAGAGCGUCCGCCGAUGGCCCAACCACAAAACUUCUUUGUACCAAAACCGGUCGUCUAAAUCAAACUUGAUCAUAAUCAAAA